rnacentral:rRNA from 1 species
GACGAACGCUGGCGGCGUGCCUAAUACAUGCAAGUAGAACGCACAGUUUAUACCGUAGCUUGCUACACCAUAGACUGUGAGUUGCGAACGGGUGAGUAACGCGUAGGUAACCUGCCUGGUAGCGGGGGAUAACUAUUGGAAACGAUAGCUAAUACCGCAUAAUAUUGAUUAUUGCAUGAUAAUUGAUUGAAAGAUGCUAUUGCAUCACUACCAGAUGGACCUGCGUUGUAUUAGCUAGUAGGUGAGGUAACGGCUCACCUAGGCGACGAUACAUAGCCGACCUGGGAGGGUGGUCGGCCAACCUGGGACUGGGACACGGCCCAGACUCCUACGGGAGGCAGCAGUAGGGAAUCUUCGGCAAUGGACGAAAGUCUGACCGAGCAACGCCGCGUGAGUGAAGAAGGUUUUCGGAUCGUAAAGCUCUGUUGUAAGAGAAGAACGGGUGUGGGAGUGGAAAGUUCACACUGUGACGGUAUCUUACCAGAAAGGGACGGCUAACUACGUG